rnacentral:rRNA from 1 species
AUUGAACGCUGGCGGCAGGCCUAACACAUGCAAGUCGAGCGGAUGAAGGGAGCUUGCUCCUGGAUUCAGCGGCGGACGGGUGAGUAAUGCCUAGGAAUCUGCCUGGUAGUGGGGGAUAACGUCCGGAAACGGGCGCUAAUACCGCAUACGUCCUGAGGGAGAAAGGGGGGGAUCUUCGGACCUCACGCUAUCGGAUGAGCCUAGGUCGGAUUAGCUAGUUGGUGGGGUAAAGGCCUACCAAGGCGACGAUCCGUAACUGGUCUGAGAGGAUGAUCAGUCACACUGGAACUGAGACACGGUCCAGACUCCUACGGGAGGCAGCAGUGGGGAAUAUUGGACAAUGGGCGAAAGCCUGAUCCAGCCAUGCCGCGUGUGUGAAGAAGGUCUUCGGAUUGUAAAGCACUUUAAGUUGGGAGGAAGGGCAGUAAGUUAAUACCUUGCUGUUUUGACGGUACCAACAGAAUAAGCACCGGCUAACUUCGUG